GGGGAUGCACCGGUUUCGACGGGUGUGACCGCGGACUUGAACUGCAGGUGAGGCCGCCUGUCCUCUGAACAGACAAAACUUAUAACUGCCGAAGAUAAUCGUCAGUUUGCUCUCGCAGCGUAAGCUCGGGAACACGGAAACCGGAUUGUGCCGCUCUGAACGGUUCGGAUUUCUGUCGCCAAUCAGGGCUUGCUUUGCACGGUGUCCGGUACGUGCACGGGACUUUCACCGGAAUACGGAUCCGACGCUUUCGAUGCUGCUACCGGGUCCCGACAACAAACUCGCAUCGAUAAACCUGUAGACGUUCCUGACCCGCACACUUGGACGGGAGUUCAAUUCUCCCCAUCUCCAAAA
rfam:Treponema brennaborense DSM 12168, complete genome.